rnacentral:rRNA from 1 species
UACGGAGGGUGCAAACGUUGCUCGGAAUCAUUGGGCGUAAAGCGCACGUAGGCGGCUUGUUAAGUCGGGUGUGAAAGCCCUCGGCUCAACCGAGGAAGUGCAUUCGAAACUGGCAAGCUUGAGUAUGGAAGAGGGUCGCGGAAUUCCCGGUGUAGAGGUGAAAUUCGUAGAUAUCGGGAGGAACACCAGUGGCGAAGGCGGCGACCUGGGCCAAUACUGACGCUGAGGUGCGAAAGCGUGGGGAGCAAACAG